rnacentral:lncRNA from 1 species
CCUUCUUUCAGUCUGCUAGAGAGAAAGAGAGAGCGAGAACGAGAGCGUAACUCCAUGUGAGACAGAGGGGGAGGUGAACGUAAGGAGGACCUGUAAAGGGGCUGUACAAACUACCCAUAACAUACACACCGAAGCACUUGGGAGUACAGGAAGCAGCAGUGGAGAGGAAGAUCACUGACUCAUUGUACCCUGGCAGCAGUGGAGGUUCAUCCAGUGGCCUUUCAUUUCAACUACACAACUAGAGACAUUAAGCCCUGUCUGGAUAUACCAUAUACUUGCCCGAGGAGUCUUUUUGAACCUAAUCUGAAACAAGCAAAUAAACUAUGCCACUGUGAUGGUGGGUUAGAGAUCAUAUCACUGGGCUUAAGCCACCCAUAUAGUCUCGGUCAGUAAUACAGGGAUAAGGAAUGAAAACUAUAGAAACCAUUCGUUUAAAAUCCAAACAAUAUGGACUGAGCACAAUUAAGCCUUGCUUGAAAGUUUAGCGAUUACAAUAGCCGCAGUCAGAACAUUUGGACAACCUUUCGGCUGAAUGUGUUUUUUCAUGUGCUAAUGAAACGACAGGAAAGCACCAAGCACUCCCCUUCAUCUUAACAUUGUUGAAACAUUUUGAGAGCAAGGGCUACACGUGCCUUUAAAGAAACAGUCUGCCUCGGGGAGAUUGCGAUAAACUCGAGGGACAUGUUUUGGUGACUUUGACUCAAAAAGAAAGACAAAUAUCUGGAUAAGACAUCGAAAACAGACGCAAAUAGAACAGAGGACAGUUUGCCAGCCUUUGCCGCAUUUGCACAAGAGCAUAUCCCAGUUGUGAAAUUUUCUUGGCACUUUUCCAUGGGAACUGAUCCAGGGUGCAUUGAGAAGUACCUCCAGGGAGGUCUUGUUAGAGUUUGAAUAAUAUUGUGUGGAUUGAAAGCAAAAGUACAUUUCUCUACUCCGAAGGAUUACCGUGAAGAAAAUGUCCAGCAAAAUGUAGAGCUUUAGUUUAACUUUGAUCCUGCUUUUGAUCUUUGUUUCUUCAAAAGUCGGGAAGCAUAAAACAGUCAGCGGAUCCCGAAACCACCUCUUACAAGUCAAACUUACGCCCCAGCUGAGAAAAAGCUUUUGUCAUACCCAGGCAAGUGUGCCAGCUAAAAGGGGGCUCAGCGAAAGAAGAGAGUAUCUUAAGCAAGA